CAUACGCUCGUCUCAAAGAUUAAGCCAUGCAUGUGUAAGUAUAAAUAGUUAACUUUGAAACUGCGAAUGGCUCAUUAUAUCAGUUAUAGUUUAUUUGAUGAAGAAUACUAAUUGGAUAACCGUAGUAAUUCUAGAGCUAAUACAUGUAUAAAGUCUUGUAGACUGCAUUUAUUAGAAUGAAAACCAUAGGUUUCGGCCUAUUCGUGAGUAAUAAUAACUAAUCAUAUCGUAUGCUUAAGUAACGAUGUGUCUUUCAAGUUUCUGCCCUAUCAGCUUUCGAUGGUAGUGUAUUGGACUACCAUGGCAGUAACGGGUAACGAAGAAUUUGGGU
rnacentral:rRNA from 1 species